rnacentral:rRNA from 1 species
GACAGCAGUAGCCGCGGUAAUACAGAGGGUGCGAGCGUUAAUCGGAUUUACUGGGCGUAAAGCGUGCGUAGGCGGCUUCUUAAGUCGGAUGUGAAAUCCCUGAGCUUAACUUAGGAAUUGCAUUCGAUACUGGGAAGCUAGAGUAUGGGAGAGGAUGGUAGAAUUCCAGGUGUAUCGGUGAAAUGCGUAGAGAUCUGGAGGAAUACCGAUGGCGAAGGCAGCCAUCUGGCCUAAUACUGACGCUGAGGUACGAAAGCAUGGGGAGCAAACAGGAUUAGAGACCCCCGUAGUCCCUGUCUCUUAUAC